CGAAAUGCGAUACUUGGUGUGAAUUGCAGAAUCCCGUGAACCAUCGAGUUUUUGAACGCAAGUUGCGCCCGAGACCUUUAGGUUGAGGGCACGUCUGCCUGGGCGUCACACACAGCGUCG
rnacentral:rRNA from 4 species